rnacentral:lncRNA from 1 species
GCUUGGCUUGCCUAUGGGUGUGUCUGCAGAGAAGGUAUUUUUGCUGAGGCUCUAGUCUCCAGAAUUUGUCACUCUGGAGGGACUUGGGGGGUCCUGGCUGGUUUUCUUCAGCAGCAGAGGACCUUUCAGUUGGGGGAAUGAUAAUGGGGGCAUCUCUUAUUUCCAAACUCUGGCAGUUUCCUUCCAUGUGGAGGGAACAACAUCCCUGGCCUGUCGGCUGCCUGCCACUCACCCGUCCCCGGAGCAGGUGACAUUCUGAUCAGAGAGUUUGAAGGAGAAACGGGGCAAGUGUGGACCAGUCCAUUCUUCUCUUCUUUCUGUUUCCCACGAAGAGCAUGGAAUCUACUCUGCUUCUGACUGGAGAGUUUGCAGGCCAGGCUCCUACGUGGGGAAGCCUGUAGAGGCCCAACGCUGCCUCCAAGGCUUGGGGGAGGCAAAUCUGUCUCAUUCUGGGGUUAAGUCCUGAGGAGCCCAUUUGCCUGCACAGCAAAGCCACAUUCCUCCACAUCUUGAUUUCUACUAGGUGAUAUAUUUGAUUUUGCAAAUUCCUUCCUCUUACGACACCCCAGCAUAAACCUGCAACGUGGCUGACUGGUUGGAAGAGCAUAUUGAAGGAGUGAAGCCAAGCAUGAGCUACGAUCAGUGACCAUGGACUCAUAAGGCUUUUGUUUAAGAAUUGCCUAAGAUGUUCUUCAGAUCCUGAAUUCCAGCAGGAAAGCUAAUGCCAACCAGUUUGAAAACAACCACAGAGGAAUCGAAUCAGCACGAGAAUGCAGUUUCUUCAUUUCCCUGUCCCAUGACUUUACUCUGCACUCUUUGACCAAUCAAUAAUCCUGGACCUUGGCCCACUUCAAACCCCUUGAAAUCUCUAGCUCCAACUCCCUGGAGGGGUGGAUUUGAGGUUUCCUCCUGUUUCCUUGUUUGGCUGCCGUAUGAUUAUUAAACUCUUUCUUUGCUGCAAUC